AUGCAGAUACCUCCAAGCGUUGCGGUAGGCUGUGUGGAGUGUUUAUCCGACUGGAUAAAAAAUCAUAAUAAUAAUAAUAAUAUUAUGUCCCCUCCACUACUAAAACAAAAGUUGCACCCCUGGUGGAUGGUGUAUAGGUGCAGGGUUAGAUGGUGUAUAGGUGCAGGGUUAGAUGGUGUAUAGGUGUAGGGUUAGAUGGUGUAUAGGUGUAGGGUUAGAUGGUGUAUAGGUGCAGGGUUAGAUGGUGUAUAGGUGCAGGGUUAGAUGGUGUAUAGGUGCAGGGUUAGAUGGUGGUGCAAUGUACGUUUUUCACAUUCCCCUUUAUUUGUUGGUUUCGUCACAAUGUGGAAUUCACAUUCAGAACUGAGAAAUGCAGCAAUAUUCCAAAAAGCGUCUAGUCGGCCGGAAAUUCACAAGAAGAAGCCGAAACAAGGGUGGUUU
ensembl:lncRNA